rnacentral:rRNA from 1 species
UACAGAGGUCUCAAGCGUUGUUCGGAUUCAUUGGGCGUAAAGGGUGCGUAGGCGGCGCGGUAAGUCGGGUGUGAAAUCUCGGAGCUUAACUCCGAAACUGCAUUCGAUACUGCCGUGCUUGAGGACUGGAGAGGAGACUGGAAUUUACGGUGUAGCGGUGAAAUGCGCAGAUAUCAGGAGGAACACCGGUGGCGAAGGCGGGUCUCUGGGCAGUGAACUGACGCUGAGGAGCGAAAGCGUGGGGGAGCGAACAGG